GGGAGGACUACAAGGAAACUGGUAGCUUUCCUGGAUAGGAGACAGUGGAACUAGGCGUAAGGACCGAGAGGCGGAGCUCACAAAAAGAAUCGGUUGAUGGUUAGCUACUGAGAGAAAGAAACCAGAGCUUCUUGGAGAAGUAGGUGAUUCCAGGUCUGGGGCAGGAGAUAUGCAAGUCGAGUGUGGAACAGUUAACCAUACUAGAUGUGGAAGAAGCAAGUAGGAACUAUAAGGAUAGAUAUGUCAAAAAGACUCAGGGGCCUCACUCACAUGGCCAAAGGUACCAGGGAUUGAAUCCAGGGGUGCUAUGCCACUGAGAUCCAUCUCCAGCAUUAUUUGUUUAUUAUUUUAAAACUAUUAUUAUUAC